ACAGACAAAAAAAUCAAUCUCAAUUAAUUUCUCAUUCUAAAUCAUCUUUCUCUUCUCUAAUGCAUGGGAGCAAUUGAAAGAAACAUUCUUCUGUAAAAUAUUAUCAACCGAUACGCUUAGGGAGAUUGUGCAAUUCUCUUUAAGGAUUUUAAAGUAUCCUGCAGAAAAAUUCAUCGGUAACUCCUUUUGCAUCCAACAUAUAAAGAUUGGUGGGGUGAAUUGUUUCUUAAGCUUAGUGUAAAACUAUAUGCUUU
rnacentral:lncRNA from 1 species